AACAAUGGUGUUUAUCGGGCGACUGUAUAGCAAAUACACAGGUUUUAGUUAAAGAUGUUUAGAUUUUAGAGCUGAUAUGUGACCAGCGUGUGCUAAUAUCUCCACAAACGUUGGCCGUAACAAUAACGGUCCUAAGGUAGCGAAAUUCCUUGUCGGGUAAGUUCCGACCUGCACGAAUGGCGUAACGACUUCCCCGCUGUCUCCAGCAUAGACUCAGUGAAAUUGAAUUCCCCGUGAAGAUGCGGGGUUCCUGCGGUCAGACGGAAAGACCCCGUGCACCUUUACUACAGCUUCACACUGGUAUUCGUAAUGACAUGUGUAGGAUAGGUGGUAGACGUUGAAGCAUUUGCGCCAGCAGAUGUGGAGUCAUCCUUGAAAUACCACCCUUGUCCUUAUGGAUAUCUAAC
rnacentral:rRNA from 1 species